rnacentral:lncRNA from 1 species
UGCUGUAGGAGGUGAGGGCAUCCUGUGUAGCGGGAGAACAGAAUAUGUGUAUUAUGACAGAAAUAGGAAUUUCUUGAUGAUUGCUCUGAUUGAGCUGUGUGAGUUGGGAUCCGUAUAAUAGUUCUAAUGAUGGCUCUACUUUUACUGUACUAGGAUGAGUGAGAUAUUUCUGUGUUGUACUCCACAGCACCUUGUUGGCCAUAAGUGGUGAGCUGGAUGUGUCACCACUCUCCCGCUCCUUCUGGUGUGAGGCCAGCAGGGACACAGCGUAGCCCACGUCGUGACUCAGGAGCCACUUGAAGGUCUGUCCCCGGUACUGCCCAAACUGGAUCUCAUAUUGGCUGAGAGGCAGCUGGGAGCAGUGGGGAUCUCCUCCUCCUUGCAGAAUGCAAGGCACCGGCUGGAUGGUGUUGAAGGCACUGGAGAAGUCAAAGAACAUGAUCCUCACAGUGCUGCCGGGCUUCUCUAGGUGCCCCAACCAACCUUCUUAUCAAGCCUCUCUUCCACCGCUACCACCUCUUAGCAAGCCUCUGGUGGGACGGGUUCAUCCUCUGUGCUGAGACUUAAUUAUGAUAUGCCACAGCAACGUCAGCCCCAAGUAUUGGCUGAGGUGGAGUCAACUUUAGCAGCAGUGAUGCAGCAUCAUAAUGCACAGUACGUAAGUCUUGUUUGUAUGUGUAUGUACUUGUAACAGUAUAUUGUUCAUAUGUUGCGUUUGUUUCUAGAAAGUCUGUCAUUUACCAGUUUGAAACGGUCCCGGGGUAAUUCCAUUAACUGGCGUUGGACCACGUGGUGUCACAUGCUUUUAUUGCCAGAUCUAACCUAAGCCAUGCAGAUGUUGGAUUAUUUGUUGCACAUGCAGCCCAUCUCCAGUCAGUCUGUGAAGAUGUCAUGGUCAGUUCUUUACAGGUCUGUGUGGUAGUUGGUUGUUCAGGCUAUAGACUUGUUCACAUUUGUGUCACGGUGGACAUGAGUGAAAGGUCCCAAAAGACUCAACGCUGAUAAUAUUUCAUCUUCUUCUAUAUUUGCAUAAAUCAAAUUUAAACCUUGUUUUCUCACCCAAUGGUUGGUGUCAGCGCAACAGAGCUAAGAUUUGACAUUUACUUGGUUUAUUCUAGUUCAUAAACUCUGAAAACAUUUAAAAAUCACACUCCUGCUGUGCACCCGUUUUUGUGGGCAGUACCAAGAUCAUAAGGCGCAUAAACCAACCUCGUGUUAAGCCAACACCUCCGUCUCCUGCAGAGGAGCUCCGCAAUGGGGAAAUCCACAGGUCAGCAAGAAAGCAAAAGGUCAGUCCCAGCCAUCAUGUUGUGAAGACUUACUUUGGAACAUUUAAGAUGCUGCGUGUGUCCUUUCUCUUCUUCCAGAGACUGCGCCCU